ensembl:lincRNA
UGUCCGUCUAUGUUUAACCCUGGCCCUUUUACCACCAUCCCUCCAGAUUAACCAAAUUUCUGUUCAGAAAGACAAUCUCUAAUUUGGGGAUAAAUACAGCCCUUGCCUCUCAAAGAGAUCUAUUAUUUUCCAGACCAAAUUUUUUAAAUCGACAAAGUGGUAGUGGCUUUCUAGGUCACUCCUGUUAGGUUUGUUACUCUGAAUGAUAAACAACUUACCUUUUGCUGUCAGAUUCCUGAGGUAGCAAGUUAAAAUGCUAGCGCAAUCCCCCGCUCCUUUGGGUUGAGGGUCUGAUGCAGACGGAAAUCGACAAGUUCAUUUUCCUACCAGAGGCAAAUGUGGAUUUCAGCUUCAGGCGCCCAGAGGCCCGGGAGGCAGGCUGGGAGCGUCACGUGUUUGGCGCAGCCACUCCGCCCAGCCCAGUCGCCGGGUCACCUCUCCACUCCGGAGGCCCACGGUGCCAAUGUCCUUAACCUCCUACACUCGGUGCAAUCGUGUCCAGAGAGAACCCAGCGACCUCGAGACAGUGUUGAAACCAAACCUUUUGAGACACAGAGAUGCCUGAAACAAAAAGGAUCUAUUGACCACUACAAAGAUGAGCCAGAACAAAAAGACCAUUUCUCAGGACAAGUUUCUACACUGCCAGCAGCAGGGCCAGACAGCAGUUGGAAAUUUCCACCUGGACCAGAGCUAAGUGCAUUUUUUUCAUGAAGCAAUAUUAAGAAAUGUAAAUAGCCAAAUUAUUUGCUAAAAACAUUUUAAGAAUAUCUAAUUGAAGCACGACAUAAUACUAAUCUGUGGAGAAACCAACACAACUAAAGCAAAAAGAUAAAAAAUACAGAAUGUACAGAUACAUAAGGAAAAACAAAAACAUAAAAUGAAAACACUCUUGGUAUUUGAUAAGACAGAAUUGAAACCAAAGAGCACUGAGAGAGACACGAGGACCACUUCACAGUGCUGUAGGCUGCAAAUGUACAGUGAAAAUUUAAGCGUCAGUAGUGCCUGUGCUUCUAAUAAUACAGCAAGAGCUUUCAAAACGAGGAGCUACCAGUGAGGGGAGAAAAACUAGAAACAUCAACACACCAGUCAAGGUACCUACCCCACUUGCUCUGGAAGACAAGAGCUGAGAAAAGAUGGAGAGCACCCAGGUAGCAUGACUGACAGCCAAGCAAGUAGAGCCUGGAUAUGUGCAGGUAGCUAUGCCUGGUGGCUGUCAUGCAUGUGUGCUCUGCUGCCCUAAUUCAUGUCCACUCUAAAUUCCAGAAUAUGAUUUACUUGGAAAUAGCAUCUUUGAAGAUGUAUUUAAUGAAGGAUCUUCAAGAUAAAACACAGGGUGGGCCAUAAAUCCAAGGACUCGUGUCUUCAUAAGGAAAAGGAGAAGAAAAUUUGGGGAGAAAGAGACACACCGGAGAAAACAGAAAGCAGAGGCGGGGACUAGAGUGGUGGCCUGGAGUUGGUGGCCUGGAGCGACCAGGAGCUAUUAAGAGGCAGGACAGGUCCUUCUCUUGACUCUUCAGAGGUAGCUUUCCCUGCCCACAACUUGAUUUCAGUCUGCUGGCCUCCAGAAUUGGGAGAAAAUACAUUUCUGGUGUUUUAAGUCAGCGACAUUGUGAUAAUUUGUUACGGCAGGCCCAGAAAGUAAUACCAUAUGUACAAAUGUAUGUAUGCAUAUGUGAAUUAAUCACUCUGAACCCUAAUUAUACAGAAUGUGCCUGCUUUUCACAGAGUAAUCACAAAAACUGACUAUAUCACAGGCCACAAAGAAAACCUCAAUAGAUUCCACAGAAGAAAAAUAACACAAACAGGAUUUUCUGACUACAUUGCAGUCAAGCUAGAAAUUAACAAAAAUUUGCCCAGACCUUUACAUCUGGAAAAAUAUAAAGAGGGGCAAUAAACAUCUCUUGCAUUGAAAGAGAAAGCCAAAAUGAAAUGACAGACUUUCUUAGAAAUCGUGAUAACGAAAGCACAGCAUAUUAGUUGACAGAGAAAAAUUCAUAGCACUAACUUGAUUUAGUGAUGCACAUUUUAAAGUUUAAAAAACACAUUAAACUCAGACGAGUAUAAAAGACACAGUUAUGAAAGACAUAAUAAAGCAGAACACAGGAUAAUUAAAAAUAAAGGCAUCAAAAAAAAUAAAAGCAGCACUUUGACGUUUGUUUCAUCCAUCAAACAGAAAAUAGCAAGACUAAUAAAAUACAAACUCUUCUCUUUUAAAAAUAGAGAGAAUUGUUUUAAAAGUCCAGUAACUAGCCCAAAUGGAGGAAAAAUGAGGAAGACAGCACCAGUACAGAAAGUAUGACGAGGAGAAGAGCAGCAAACAAAAGGAAAUUAGAAGAGAUUGCUCUGUGCAGCUGUUUACAGACAAAUUGGUAAACAAAUAAUUUAAAAAUAAACUAUGACUUACCAAAACCGAUCUCAAGAAAGUUUUGAAAGACCAGAUUCCAUAGCAGAAAUAAAGACUUAAAGAGCUUCCUUGCAAAAAUAAAAUAAAAAACAAAUAAAACAUAUAUCAGCCCAGGUUGCUUUGCAGCAGAAUUCUUCCCAAAUUAUCCUGCAAGCCAAGAAAAAGAAAAACUUCCACAUUUGUUUAAUGGAGAAUGACAUUGAUCUUCCACCUGGCAAAGAUUUCACUACAAAAAAAAUUUAGUAUAUCAAUGCCAAAAGUACAAAUACUUACAAAGCAGCCUCAAAGCACAUUAAAAUAUAUUCAUCGUGAC